CCUACGGGUGGCAGCAGUGAGGAAUAUUGGUCAAUGGACGAGAGUCUGAACCAGCCAAGUAGCGUGAAGGAUGACUGCCCUAUGGGUUGUAAACUUCUUUUAUAUGGGAAUAAAACGUUCAACGUGUGGGAUUUUGUAUGGACCAUAUGAAUAAGGAUCGGCUAACUCCGUGCCAGCAGCCGCGGUAAUACGGAGGAUCCGAGCGUUAGCCGGAUUUAUUGGGUUUAAAGGGAGCGUAGGUGGAUUGUUAAGUCAGUUGUGAAAGUUUGCGGCUCAACCGUAAAAUUGCAGUUGAAACUGGCAGUCUUGAGUACAGUAGAGGUGGGCUGAAUUCGUGGUGUAGCGGUGAAAUGCUUAGAUAUCACGAAGAACUCCGAUUGCGAAGGCAGUUCACUGGACUGCAACUGACACUGAGGCUCGAAAGUGUGGGUAUCAAACAGGAUUAGAUACCCCUGUAGUC
rnacentral:rRNA from 1 species